CAUGUUAAAAGAUUAUGAUAUUAGAUAUUCACUUGGUAUAAUUACUCUCUCUCUCUGUCUCUCUCAAUAUGGGAAGGAGAAACUUUGACUUCUAUUCUGGUCAAGAGCAGUAGCGGAUUCAGGUGGUGGCCAGCUAGAGCAACCACCCUACCUGGAUUCGUCGGAAUUGCCAGGCGCCGCGCUAACUGUGAUGAAUCUGUGAUGACAAAUUUCGUCCCCUGCGCCUGGCUCCGUCUGUGAUACUGUUGGGCCUUUUUUUUAAGUUAGGUUGGCCUAAAUCACCCAUAGUUAAAAAACCAAAAUAUUACCACAGCCACUACCAGAGGCAGAGGUUCAGUCGUCCAAAUUUCAGAAUCGAUUUCUCUUUUCCCCCAAUUCUUGAUUUCCUUUCCAUCAAAACCAGCAGCCAGAGAGAUCAAAGAAGAGCAAACCCUUCUUGAGUUCUUCCCCCCUAAUUCCUUCCUGCCAAAUCGGUCACCUGAGUUUAGAGAUUGAGCUAGUAGCAGUGCACCGCAUAAAUGGUGAACCCACUGUCCACUGAUGAGAAUUGUGAAUUUGUGAUAUCAUUUCAAUUUCAAGUACGA
rnacentral:lncRNA from 1 species